GUUACUUGAAAUGUUUCCCUUAAUAUAUAAUUUUGUUUUGUUUUAUAUACAGUAAAUAUUCUAUAUAUAUUUUUUGUAUGAAAAGAAUAAGUACUUUUAUUGUGAUUUGACUUCUCGGAUGUACUUGUUUCUAAAACAAACAAAAAAGAAACAUCCUAAAGCCUGUUCCUUGUUUCCUCACAGAUGGCCUUUCUCUGUGACUCACAGUACUAUGCAGAAAAACUUUCUCUCAUUUAGCAAAGAUACAAUAACUCAUCCAACAUUAACAUUCUCCAGUCAAAAUCCUUAGUUCUGGCCGUUGAAAUGCCUCUCCGUUUCAUGGCUGGAUAGCAUCCAUUUCCGCAUUUGAAGAAAGCAAUGUACUCUCCCCUUGCUGACACUACUAUCUACCUUAUGCUGACAAUGCUUAUCUUAUUUGGCAGCAAACAGGGCUUUAUCUACCAUAACCUAAUUUAAGUCAGAAUAAUGUUUGUAUGCAUCUCAGCUCUCUUAUCAAAGAACGAUCACAUACUGUCCUUGCAUCAACUCUAUCAUAACUGUCUUUUCAAUUGGAUUAAGUAUUAGUUGGUAAUAAUUUGCUUGACCAAACCUGCCUAUGUGUACCAGAGGAAACGUUUGUUUUCAUUUUAUGGGUGACCGAGAAAGCGCAAAAUAUUGACAACAUGCCCUGUUAAACGUCAAGGAUUAUAAAUGCAACCUGCAUGUUACACAAAGUUACAUUUUGUAAAGUCUGUCAAUUAUAUUGUAUUUGUUAUAUUAUCAGGAAUAUUUCAAGUAUUAAACCAUCUACACAUGAUUUUUCAUGUCAUAUAUUACAUUUCCAUAAGGUUAGACUCAAGUGAAUAACCACUGUGAGUGGGGUGCUUCAGAAUUCCUGGAUACAAAUGACUGAUUGCAGAAAUGUGGUUACCAUAAGUAGCCAUUUUGGGGUCUGCUGUGUUUCUAGACUGACAUACCAUUCUCUUCGCCAUGGUCCAAGAUGAGUUUCCAUUUCCCAAAUACUCUUUAUUAACUGUCCCUCGACCAAUGUCAUAUGGGACUUAUUCUUUGGUUCCCCCUUUGCCUGACAGGAUUUUUGUCAUCAUAAAAUGUCAUUGACUUUUAGUUAGUCUUGUCUUACCUCAAGAGUUGCCCUACAAGUGCCUGAUUUCUAGAGUGUUUUUGUUCUGCAGUGCCAUGGUCAGACCUCACCUCCCCAUUAACCCUCAUUAUUCCAGACUCUCAAAGCCAGAAGCCUCAACCUUCACAUCUAGUUAUAAGCCAGACUGAAUCCAUUCUCUUCUCAUUGCUGUGCUUACAUCUUAUCCGCUGACCCAAAGACGUGUAUCAUACAUACGAGCAGCCUCUCUGGGAGGCCAUUAAAAGCACACUGUGUCUGGCCAAGGACUUGUCUAUGCAGUCUGUUUGCAUGUAACAAGCACUAACAAAGAGCGGAAUACCUGAUGCUGUAAGGAGAGGGGAAGUAUAGUGCUCUCACCUGCUUUUCUCACACACAGAGGUUCUUUCAUGUGGACAGUGUUUUGUAUGGUACACAUAACAAGCCUAAGUAAAGGGUAAUCAAUACCUAGAACAGGGUAAUAUGGUACCAACUCAUUUGCAUUAGAUUUUGUUUGAUGAACUAACUGUAUACAUUUAAACUGUCAGUCAAUAGGAGACGUACAGCUGAGCUUAACAGAGCUGAACCAAACUGCUCAUGCCUUCAUCAAAAAGAUAAAUACAAACAUUUUAGAAAAUUUGGUCAACACUCAAUGUGUGUUUAGCUGUCUGUUUCUUGAAAUGUGAUAUACCUUAUGUUUGUUAUUAUGUCUGAUAAUAUUUUGUACAUAUUGUCUUGAUAUGUAACAUACUGUAUUGUGUAAAGUACGUUUUGAAUUGCUUUGAGUAAACAAUC
rnacentral:lncRNA from 1 species